rfam:TPA: Bos taurus chromosome 2, whole genome shotgun sequence.
UCCCUGGUGGCUUAGCUGAUAAAGAAUCUGCUUGCAAUGUGGGAGACCUGGGUUCAAUUCCUGGAUGGGGAA